rnacentral:rRNA from 1 species
UACGUAGGGUGCGAGCGUUGUCCGGAAUUAUUGGGCGUAAAGGGCUCGUAGGCGGUUUGUCGCGUCGGGAGUGAAAUCAUCUGGCUUAACUGGGUGCUUGCUUUCGAUACGGGCAGACUAGAGGUAUGCAGGGGAGAACGGAAUUCCCGGUGUAGUGGUGAAAUGCGUAGAUAUCGGGAGGAACACCAGUGGCGAAGGCGACUUCCUGGCCUGUUCUUGACGCUGAGGCGCGAAAGCUAGGGUAGCAAACGGG